rnacentral:lncRNA from 1 species
CCAUUGCACGAAGACACACACAACCAUUUGUGCAUGCAUGAACACAAGUGUCCUCUGAACUUGAUCAUGUAUGUCAUACAAAAAAUUCUAGCAAAUUAAAAUGCACACAUAAAAACUCAAAACAAUGCUAACAACAUCUUUUGCAAUGAUUAAUAUUUGAAACCCAUAAACCAUCAUUUCCCCAACUUUAUAGUGUUUAAAAUUGGACGCCGAGAGGAACAGGGUUCAGGAGGAAGACGUCAGUAGGGCACUGAAGUUCAGAUUGGUCGCGAGAAGAAAGUCCGCACCGCAAGUUGGGUUUCUUGACAACGUCGACCGCUGUAGUUGGAAUCCAGGGAAACAUGCUCCUCUGACACAGACCAAAAAUCAAAAGAAUUAGUGUUCCUAGCUUACAGUACUUGUUCACAUAGUUCAUGAGAUAAAAGAACUAGCACUCAUGGAAAAAUGGAAAGUUCAUGGGUAGCAGAGGGAGCAGGUCGGCAUAGCAGCAGGUGGGCGUCACUUUUUUUAGGAGUGCAUGUUGCUGCAGGAAGGAGGAGCCACCGCCAGCUCCGUCGAAGAAGGUCGAUGGGGAGGUGCUGGGACACACACCCACCAGAGUCGAGGAGCACAUGGGAGCCAGAGGAAGCCACACUCGGGGGCUGGUGGAGGGAGAAGACCGCGACCCGGUGGGUAGCGUGCGUCGCAGGGUGCUCCCAUCGAUGGGACCCCUUCCAGCGGUGGCGGCAGGGACCCGGUGGGCGGCGCUGUCGUUGAUUGGACCCCGGGCGGCGGCAGCAGCCAGG